rnacentral:rRNA from 2 species
CGCGGCAAGACGGAAAGACCCCGUGAACCUUUACUAUAGCUUGACACUGAACAUUGAGCCUUGAUGUGUAGGAUAGGUGGGAGGCUUUGAAGUGUGGACGCCAGUCUGCAUGGAGCCGACCUUGAAAUACCACCCUUUAAUGUUUGAUGUUCUAACGUGGACCCGUUACCCGGGUUGCGGACAGUGUCUGGUGGGUAGUUUGACUGGGGCGGUCUCCUCCUAAAGAGUAACGGAGGAGCACGAAGGUUGGCUAAUCCUGGUCGGACAUCAGGAGGUUAGUGCAAUGGCAUAAGCCAGCUUGACUGCGAGCGUGACGGCGCGAGCAGGUGCGAAAGCAGGUCAUAGUGAUCCGGUGGUUCUGAAUGGAAGGGCCAUCGCUCAACGGAUAAAAGGUACUCCGGGGAUAACAGGCUGAUACCGCCCAAGAGUUCAUAUCGACGGCGGUGUUUGGCACCUCGAUGUCGGCUCAUCACAUCCUGGGGCUGAAGUAGGUCCCAAGGGUAUGGCUGUUCGCCAUUUAAAGUGGUACGCGAGCUGGGUUUAGAACGUCGUGAGACAGUUCGGUCCCUAUCUGCCGUGGGCGCUGGAGAACUGAGGGGGGCUGCUCCUAGUACGAGAGGACCGGAGUGGACGCAUCACUGGUGUUCGGGUUGUCAUGCCAAUGGCACUGCCCGGUAGCUAAAUGCGGAAGAGAUAAGUGCUGAAAGCAUCUAAGCACGAAACUUGCCCCGAGAUGAGUUCUCCCUGAGACUUAGAGUCUCCUGAAGGAACGUUGAAGACGACGACGUUGAUAGGCCGGGUGUGUAAGCGCAGCGAUGCGUUGAGCUAACCGGUACUAAUGAACCGUGAGGCUUAACCUUACAAC